rnacentral:rRNA from 1 species
GUGGGGAAUAUUGGGCAAUGGGCGAAAGCCUGACCCAGCAACGCCGCGUGAAGGAAGAAGGUCUUCGGAUCGUAAACUUCUAUCCUUGGUGAAGAUAAUGACGGUAGCCGAGAAGGAAGCCCCGGCUAACUACGUACCAGCAGCCGCGGUAAUACGUAGGGGGCAAGCGUUGUCCGGAAUGCUUGGGCGUAAAGGGCGCGUAGGCGGCCUGGUAAGUAUGGAGUGAAAGUCCUGCUUUUAAGGUGGGAAUUGCUUUGGAUACUGUCGGGCUUGAGUGCAGGAGAGGUAAGUGGAAUUCCCGGUGUAGCGGUGAAAUGCGUAGAGAUCGGGAGGAACACCAGUGGCGAAGGCGACUUACUGGACUGUAACUGACGCUGAGGCGCGAAAGUGUGGGGAGCAAACAGGAUUAGAAACCCGAGUAGUCC